UUGCUUUACCAGCAUAUAUAAAAAAUGAGAACAACACGGAGAGGAGGAUUAGCAUUGUCCUGCCCAAGGAUGGCGUGCACACCUGUAAGGCAUUUCGUCUUGUU
rnacentral:snRNA from 1 species